rnacentral:rRNA from 1 species
GCAAUACCUGCCCAGUGCGAAAUAUUACUGUAAACGGCCGCCCUAGCGUGAGGGUGCUAAGGUAGCGAAAUUCCUUGCCUUUUGAUUGUAGGCCUGCAUGAAUGGUUUAACGAGGGUUUAACUGUCUCUUGAUUUAAAAUUGAAAUUGUACUGAAGGUGAAGAUACCUUCAUUAAAAAGUCAGACAAAAAGACCCCGUGCAACUUUGAAAAUUAACUUUAUUCAGAAGUGAGAGAUUUUUAGGUGGGGCGCCUAGAAAGUAAAUCUAACCUUUCUGAACAUUUAAUUCUUUCCGGACUUGACCCGAUUAUAUUCGAUCAUAGGAGAAGUUACGCCGGGGAUAACAGGCUAAUCCUUUAGUAGAGCUCGUAUUGGCUAAAGGGAUUGGCACCUCGAUGUUGAAUCAGGGAUGAUAGCUUCAAGGCGUAGAGGCUU